UAGGGAAUCUUCGGCAAUGGGGGGAACCCUGACCGAGCAACGCCGCGUGAGUGAAGAAGGUUUUCGGAUCGUAAAGCUCUUUUGUUAAGGAAGAACGAGUGUGAGAAUGGAAAGUUCAUACUGUGACGGUACUUAACCAGAAAGGGACGGCUAACUACGUGCCAGCAGCCGCGGUAAUACGUAGGUCCCGAGCGUUGUCCGGAUUUAUUGGGCGUAAAGCGAGCGCAGGCGGUUAGAUAAGUCUGAAGUUAAAGGCAGUGGCUCAACCAUUGUAGGCUUUGGAAACUGUUUAACUUGAGUGCAGAAGGGGAGGGUGGAAUUCCAUGUGUAGCGGUGAAAUGCGUAGAUAUAUGGAGGAACACCGGUGGCGAAAGCGGCUCUCUGGGCUGUAACUGACGCUGAGGCAAGAAAGCGUGGGGAGCGAACAGG
rnacentral:rRNA from 1 species